rnacentral:lncRNA from 1 species
CCGGGCUCCGCCUCGGCCGCUCCUCCUCCAGCGCCUGACGAAGAAUGUCAGCGCCAGGAGCAGCAGCAGCAGCAGCGCCCCGGCCCCGGCCAGGCCCCCGACCAGCGCCCUCCACUGGACGGCCACCUCGCAGCGUGGGCCCAAGAACCAGAGCGUGUCCGUGGAGAAGCAGCUGGAGAGGGGGUCACAGGUCACAGACCCCGCCACCUCCCAAGCCCGGUUAACUCGCGCAACUGGACCCAGCCAGGGCUGGCAGGCUCAUGCUGACCCACUCAGCAGACCAGGUGCCAGCCAGAAUGAGACCAGCUACAGUCCAGACACCAGACUUCCCUCCAGCCCUCAGCCUCAGAAGGGUCUCCUACCUCAGAGACAGGAUCUCCAC